UGAGGAAUAUUGGACAAUGGAGGAAACUCUGAUGGUGCAACGCCGCGUGGAGGAUGACGGCCCUAGGGUUGUAAACUCCUGUCAUUGGGGAGUAAGACUUAUGCGUUAAGAGCGUGUAAGUUUGAUAGUACCCAAAGAGGAAGGGACGGCUAACUUCGUGCCAGCAGCCGCGGUAAUACGAAGGUCCCAAGCGUUGUUCGGAAUAACUGGGCGUAAAGCGUGUGUAGGCUGCGCGGAAAGUCAAAUGUGAAAGCCAAGGGCUCAACCCUUGAACUGCAUUCGAUACUCCCGUGCUAGAGUAAUGGAGAGGUAAGUGGAAUUCCUGGUGUAGCAGUGAAAUGCGUGGAUAUCAGGAGGAACAUCAAUGGCGAAGGCAACUUACUGGACAUUUACUGACGCUCAGACACGAAGGCUAGGGGAGCGAAAGGG
rnacentral:rRNA from 1 species